AUACGGAGGAUGCAAGCGUUAUCCGGAUUUAUUGGGUUUAAAGGGUGCGUAGGCGGUUUGCUAAGCGGGAGGUGAAAUGCCGGCGCUCAACGUCGGAAGUGCCUCCCGAACUGGUGGACUUGAAUGACUCUGCCGUGGGAGGAAUGUGUAGUGUAGCGGUGAAAUGCUUAGAGAUUACACAGAACACCGAUUGCGAAGGCAUCUCACGAAGGGUUGAUUGGCGCUGAGGCACGAAAGCGUGGGGAUCAAACAGGAUUAGAUACCCUGGUAGUCCACGCAGUAAACGAUGAUGGCUAACCGCUGGUUUUUUCGGAUCAGUGGCCAAGCGAAAGCGAUAAGCCAUCCACCUGGGGAGUACGACCGCAAGGUUGAAACUCAAAGGAAUUGACGGGG
rnacentral:rRNA from 1 species